GACGAACGCUGGCGGCGUGCCUAACACAUGCAAGUCGAACGGAGAUAGUUAAUGAAGCUUGCGAUUUAGCUAUCUUAGUGGCGAACGGGUGAGUAACGCGUGGGUAACCUGCCCUUAAGACCGGGACAACAGCUGGAAACGGCUGCUAAUACCGGAUGUAUUGUCCGAGAGGCAUCUCUUGGAGAAGAAAGCUGGCCUCUGAAAAUGCUAGCGCUUAGGGAUGGACCCGCGUCUGAUUAGCUAGUUGGUGGGGUAAAAGCCUACCAAGGCGACGAUCAGUAGCCGGCCUGAGAGGGUAAACGGCCACACUGGGACUGAGACACGGCCCAGACUCCUACGGGAGGCAGCAGUGGGGAAUCUUCCGCAAUGGACGAAAGUCUGACGGAGCAACGCCGCGUGUAUGAAGAAGGCCUUCGGGUUGUAAAAUACUGUUGUUAGGGAAGAACGGCAUCUGUGUAAAUAAUGCAGGUGAUUGACGGUACCUAACGAGGAAGCCCCGGCUAACUACGUGCCAGCAGCCGCGGUAAUACGUAGGGGGCAAGCGUUGUCCGGAAUCAUUGGGCGUAAAGGGCGCGUAGGCGGCAAUAUAAGUCUGAUGUGAAAGUGCGGAGCUUAACU
rnacentral:rRNA from 1 species